CAGGCCUAACACAUGCAAGUCGAGGGGGAACAGAGAAGCUUGCUUCUGCUGACGACCGGCGCACGGGUGCGUAACGCGUAUGCAACUUACCUCAUACAGGAGAAUAGCCCUUGGAAACGAGGAUUAAUACUCCAUGGUAUCAUUCUUUCGCAUGUUAUAAUGAUUAAAGAAUUUCGGUAUGAGAUGGGCAUGCGUCCCAUUAGCUAGUUGGUGAGGUAACGGCUCACCAAGGCGACGAUGGGUAGGGGGCCUGAGAGGGUGGUCCCCCACACUGGUACUGAGACACGGACCAGACUCCUACGGGAGGCAGCAGUGAGGGAUAUUGGUCAAUGGAGGCAACUCUGAACCAGCCAUGCCGCGUGAAGGAUGACGGCCCUAUGGGUUGUAAACUUCCUUUAUAUGGGAAGAAACUUAUCUACGUGUAGAUAACUGACGGUACCAUACUAAUAAGGAUCGGCUAACUCCGUGCCAGCAGCCGCGGUAAUACGGACGAUCCAAGCGUUAUCCGGAUUCAUUGGGUUUACAGGGUCCGUAGGCAGAUUUGUAAGUCAGUGGUGAAAGCUACACAGCUCAUCUAUCGAACUGCCAAUAAUUCUGGAAAUCUUGACUACAAAUGAAGUAAGCCGGAGUACUCCUGUGCGGUGAAAUG
rnacentral:rRNA from 1 species